UACGUAGGGUCCGAGCGUUGUCCGGAAUUACUGGGCGUAAAGAGCUCGUAGGUGGUUUGUCGCGUUGUUCGUGAAAACUCACAGCUUAACUGUGGGCGUGCGGGCGAUACGGGCAGACUUGAGUACUGCAGGGGAGACUGGAAUUCCUGGUGUAGCGGUGAAAUGCGCAGAUAUCAGGAGGAACACCGGUGGCGAAGGCGGGUCUCUGGGCCAUUACUGACACUGAGAAGCGAAAGCAUGGGGAGCGAACAGG
rnacentral:rRNA from 1 species